CUGAUUACCUUGAGGUGGUCAUGGGGUCAGGCCUGCAGCUCCAGCCUUGGAGGUGUUCUGUUUGGGCAGCCGUCAGGGGAAACUACUUGAGGAGGAGCCAGUGCCUUGGGAUUAAGAAGAUGGUGCUCCUCCCUCAGGGUAAUAGGAGGGGGAGUUCUUAAAUGUCCUGGAGUAUCCAGGUCUGGAGAGAAGACGACAUGACCUGAAACUCAGCAGGUGGUGGUGAGCUUCAGACUGCUGAGGCUGUGGCAGAGGCAGUGUGCAGUUCUCUGCCCCAUCCUUUGAAAUACCAGGAGCGCAGCUGACACAGGCUGAAAGGGAAACUUAGUUGUGAUACAGCCAAGAGCCUGUCAGCUUCUGUAGGGGGUUCUCCUUACCCUGAGUGUAUAGAGAGGUGAUGACCACUGGUGGGAGCUGAGAAACCAUGUAGCCGCCUGCAACAAGUAAAUGUUGAUAUUUGCAUUGGAGAUAUGGGGAGUUAACACUCUCCACGGGAGAUUUGUUCUUUUGCUUACAGUUUCUUACUUAGGUAACUGAGAAGUGAAGCUUUUGAAAAAUCAAAAAAGAAAUUUAACUUAUUAUGUGGGGUAGGGACAAAGGAAAGUCACCAAGUUCAGGAAUGGCAUAACCCAGCCUUGCUGUAAGAGGGUGACUUCUGUGCCUGACCAUAGGCUGACACUGGUGACCAGGGCCAUCUGGGGCAGAGCUGUGAACCCAAGGAAGCAGCUGAAUAAGCAAGCAGGCAGCCUGCCAUGGGGCCCUGCUCCAAGAACCGGUCCUUCUGCUGGAUGAUUGGGCUCCUGGUAUUCAUUAACCUCCUCCUUAAGCCUGUGCCUCACCCUGAGAUCCUGGCAAAGUCACAGUCUAUCACACCAGACCUGUGUAACAUCACCCUGGAGUGUAGGGCUCCAGGGACCACAGAGUACCUGAAUGUGACUUGGGAGAGCAAGGGCCUCCUCAGAGAGCUGCAGAGAGAAACACCAGGACCAGCCUCCAACCCCUGGACACUGGCUGUGAACCUGCCCCUGUGCCAGUGCAACACCCACCUCACCUGUGUGGUCAGCAACCAGGCAGAUCAGAAAGCUGCAAUCUUAGACUUUAGAAAAGUCUGUGUCCAAGGUGAGUGGUGA
rnacentral:lncRNA from 10 species